rnacentral:rRNA from 1 species
CAGUAGCCGCGGGAAUACGAAGGGGGCUAGCGUUGUUCAGAAUUACUGGGCGUAAAGCGCACGUAGGCGGAUAUUUAAGUCAGGGGUGAAAUCCCAGAGCUCAACUCUGGAACUGCCUUUGAUACUGGGUAUCUUGAGUAUGGAAGAGGUGAGUGGAAUUCCGAGUGUAGAGGUGAAAUUCGUAGAUAUUCGGAGGAACACCAGUGGCGAAGGCGGCUCACUGGUCCAUUACUGACGCUGAGGUGCGAAAGCGUGGGGAGCAAACAGGAUUAGAUACCCCAGUAGUCCCUGUCUCUUAUAC